AACGAACGCUGGCGGCACGCCUAACACAUGCAAGUCGAGCGGGAUCUUCGGAUCUAGCGGCGGACGGGUUAGUAACGCGUGGGAACGUACCCAGAUCUACGGAAUAGCCUCGGGAAACUGAGAGUAAUACCGUAUACGCCCUUCGGGGGAAAGAUUUAUCGGAUUUGGAUCGGCCCGCGUAAGAUUAGAUAGUUGGUGGGGUAAUGGCCUACCAAGUCUACGAUCUUUAGCUGGUUUGAGAGGAUGAUCAGCAACACUGGGACUGAGACACGGCCCAG
rnacentral:rRNA from 1 species